GGAUGUAAGGGUGAUGUGGCUGCGACAUCUGUCACCCCAUUGAUCACCAGAGUUGACUGGGCUGAUCUGGCUGGUUAGGAAGGUGUCCCCCUCCUUCCUUAUUGCUCCAUGUGUGACGAUCCAGAAGCUAGGUAGAAGAGGAUGGCCUUCCGGAUAGAGACGGACCCAUCUUCAGUCGAGGGCGUUUCAGUAGCUGUGUCUCCCUGCUAGAACAUCCAAACUAACUCUCAUCUGUGUGAUCAUAGUUGAGUCAUGUAACUUCUAUAUUAUUGAAAUUUUUCAUUCUUUAAAUGAAAAAUGAGAACAUUU
rnacentral:snRNA from 1 species